rnacentral:tRNA from 12 species
UAUGUUAUAGUUUAUGAAGAACAUUAAUUUUUGAUAUUAAUAGACAGUUUAAUUCUGCUAACAUAA